rnacentral:rRNA from 1 species
AUGCGGGUGCUAUACAUGCAAGUCGAGCGGACCGACGGGAGCUUGCUCCCUUAGGUCAGCGGCGGACGGGUGAGUAACACGUGGGUAACCUGCCUGUAAGACUGGGAUAACUCCGGGAAACCGGGGCUAAUACCGGAUGCUUGAUUGAACCGCAUGGUUCAAUCAUAAAAGGUGGCUUUCAGCUACCACUUACAGAUGGACCCGCGGCGCAUUAGCUAGUUGGUGAGGUAUCGUCUCACCAAGGGAACAAUGCGUGCCCACCCGGAAAGGUGGACCGCCACGAUUGGACUUAAACCCCGCCCUGAACCCGAUUGGAAGCAGCAGUAAGGAAACAUCCGCAAUGGAAGAGAGUCUGACGGAGCAACGCCGCGUGAGUGAUGAAGGGUUUCGGAUCGAAAACCUCUGUUGUUAGGUAAAAACAAGUAUUGUUCGAAUAGGGCGCCACCCUGAAAGUGCAAACCCUAAUUGCCACGGUUAACUACGUGCCCCCAGCCGCGGUAA